AGAUAUGGGGACAUAUGUAUAUGUAUAACUGAUUCACUUUGUUAUAAAGCAGAAACUGACACACCAUUGUAAAGCAAUUAUACUCUAAUAAAGAUGUUUAAAAAAAGAUUUUAUUCAACUUACAAUUAAUAAGGGAAACAGUAAGAUGUUAAAACCAGUUCAAAGGGAUAUUUAUAUAAGAAUAAAACUGCUAGAUACAAAAUUGGUUAAUGUCCAACAGGGCCAUGCAUUGUAAUGUUUUGAGGUUUCCUAUUUUGCCAGACACUUUGCAUCACUAAUGGACAGAAAUCUGUAAAUUAAUCUCUGCUCCUACAGAAUUUUAAAAUAGCCCAAAGUCAAGAUUAACACUGCACUGAAAGAAAACCCAGCAAUCUCUUUUACCUAUUUCCAAGUUUUAAAUACUUUUUCUAUACUUACAAGUGGUUUAAAUGGUACAUUUUAUGGUAUUAUAUUUUACUAUAAUAAAAAUCAAACGAGAAAUAAUACAUACUUUUUAUUAUUUUUAAUUUUUUUUUUACAUACAUACUUUUUCUGAUAACAUAUAUGUUUGCCUAGCAGGAGAGGAAGAGUUGAUCAUGAGGAUGACAGUUAAAUUCUCAUUAGUGAUAAGUAAGUGAUCAUUCUGGUGUUAUAUGCCGGAAUGCAAUGGAUAGAUGGUGUAUAUUUUCCUCUGAAAGAUGGAUCUGCUCUUUGAGCUGGAAACACUAGGUUUCUGUGUCUACAAGUUCAGAGGUCAGACCUGGCCUGUAGAAAAUUCACCAAGGUAAUAAAUGUGAUACAGUGAAGUCUUUCUUGAGAGACAGUUUUUGUACUCUCCCUGGUCAAAGAGAGAAGAGUGUCCUUUUCUUAUCUUGAACUUCAACAACUUCAUUUUGGGCCUGAAGCUUUUUUUUUUUUUUUUAAAUCUUGAAUGUUGAACCAUUUAUAUACUUCCCUGGCUUUUGAGAUGUACCAUAUUGUUGAAAUAGCUAAACUCCAAUUAUUAUGGAAUGCUUGCUGAGAUAGGCAAAUUGCUCACUACUUGAAGUCAUUCAAAGUAAACUCAGUUGUCAGGUAAAAGUUGGAUGGGAUACAAGUGCCUAUAGAACACUUAUGCCUUUGCAAGGAAUUUAUGCUCCUUCCCAUGAGAUACCUAUCACUCAUUUCCUUUCUGGUUUUUCAAUUCCCAUGCUCUUUGUGAAUGUUUAUGGCAGUGUUUUAUGUUCAGGAAAACAUUGGCCGAUAUUACAUUCAAGUGCUCUUUCUGCCAAAGCAUUUUCAAACUCUUUACUGGUCACAGGAGUUACACUACAGCUUGGUAGAGCCGCAUUAGAUGCUAUGUCUUUUGAGAUGGUAUCAUCAUGACGUGUGUAUGUUUAUGAAUUACCAGCUUCUAUAAAUGGUAAACUGACUGUCAAAACAGUUUCCUUGGAAUCCUGGGGUUAGGAUCAAAAUCAUCCAGCUCUGCUACUCAAAAUGAAUUAAACUAGGAGAAUUGCUGAGAGCUGUUUUCAUUUUCUUCUUUUAGAUGCAUCUGGAAGCACUGAGUCUCAAGGUUGUUUUCAAAAUUUAUGUAGUUAUCUUGUGCGUGUGUGCGUGUGUGUGUGUGUAUGGUGAGAACAUUUAAUAACUAUUCUCAGGAAAUUUCAACUAUAUAACACAUUAUUAUAUAUUAUUAACUGCAGUCACCAUGCUGUACCUUAGCUCCCCAGAACUUAUUCAUGUUAUAACUGAAAAUUUGUACCUUUUGACCAACAUCUCUCCAUUUCCCCCACCCCACUCUCAGUUUUUAUUAUUUUUAACAGCUUUAUUGACAUACAAUAAACUUCACUUUUUUUUUUUUUGUCCAUGCGACAUGCGGGAUGUUAAUUCCCCAACCAGGGAUUGAAUCCGUGCCCCCUGCAGUGGAAGCGUGGAGUCCUAACCCCUGGAAUGCCAGGGAAUUCCUUAAACCUCACAUAUUUGAAGGGUACAUUUCGAUCAGGUUUUUUUAAAAUUUAUUUAUUUGGUUGCGUGGGGUCUUAGUUGUGGCAGGCGGGCUCCUUAGUUGCGGCUUGCCAGCUCCUUAGUUGCGGCAUGCGAACUCUUAGCUGCGGCAUGCAUGUGGGAUCUGGUUCCCGGACCAGGGAUUGAACCCGGGCCCCCUGCAUUGGGAGCAUGGAGUCUUAACCAUGCGCCACCAGAGAAGUCCCUUGAUCAGUUUUUUUGUUUUGUUUUUUAAUAAAUUUAUUUAUUUAUUUUUGGCUGUGUUGGGUCUUCAUUGCUGCACGUGGGCUUUCUCUAGUUGCGGCAAGCAGGAGCUACUCUUUGUUGUGGUGCGCGGGCUUCUCAUUGUGGUGGCUUCUCUUUGCAGAGCAUGGGCUCUAGGUGUGCUGGCUUCAGUAGUUGUGGCACGCAGGCUCAGUAGUUGUGGCACAGGGGCUUAGUUGCUCCGUGGCAUGUGGGAUCUUCCCGGACCAGGGCUCGAACACACGUCCCCUGCAUUGGCAGGCAGAUUCUUAACCACUGCGCCACCAGGGAAGUCCCCUUGAUUAGUUUUUAGAUCUGUAUUCAUCCUGCCAACUCUCACCAAUAGCAAAUAGUGAACAUAUGUGUCACCAACCUCCAAAACUUUCCUGCUGUCCCUCUGUAAUCCCUUCUUCCUGUCUUCCCCCACUAUCCCCCGUCAUCAUUCUUUUUAAUAAGCCAUAGAUUUUUAUUGUCUUAGAUAUCAUCAUUUAUUAACCAGUCUCCAUUUUGUUUGAAUGGUUUUUCCUAGUUUUUGUUCUUUUUUUUUUUUAAGAAUUUUUUUUGGGAAUGCGGACCAUUUUUUAAAGUCUUUAUUGAAUUUGUUACAAUAUUGCUUCCGUUUUAUGUUUUGGUUUUUUGGCCCCAAGGCAUGUGGGAUCUUAGCUCCCCGACCAGGGAUCAAACCCUCAUCCUCCGCAUUGGAAGGUGAAGUCUUAACCACUGGACCGCCAGGGAAUUCCCCUAGUUUUUGUUUUUGGUUUUUAUUUUUUCCCCUUUACAAACACUACUGUUGUAAAUAUCCUUGAACACAUUCUGGAUGGGCUGUUGUCUUGAGGCUCUAAGGCCUCACUGACAUUUUGCUUCUUAUAUUCUUUAGGGUCGCAGUUUGGAUUAGUAUUCAGAUGGCCUAUCAGAUACCACUCAUGCACCACUUGAGAAUUUCUGGGUUUCAUCUGUCACUUUCCAGCCACAAACUCACUGAUCAUCUCUGUGUAGAUGCAAAUGAUUUCAAGCUGAUGUGGCCACACCAGGUCCCGCCCUGGGUCUGCUUCACCAGUUCCCUCCUCCUACCCUUAGGCUUCCCUGUUGACACAGCAGGACCCCCAGCUUGGCACGCAGGUGAGCCUGUGCUGCCAAAAGGGAGGAAGGUGCUGGUUAUAUGACUUCUUGGAGGACAGUCCCCCAGGACUGAGCAGCCAGCCACACUGAGCGGCAGCAGGUUUAAUGAUGCAUCGUCCUCCGGUAGUGCCUCUCUCUCCUUCCUGGCCUCCCUCCCCUGGUACCUCAUUCCUGCCCCCCGAAAUCACACUCCUUAAUACUUUAGUAGCCCAUAAGCUUUUGCCUCAGGCUGUGUUUUCUGGGGAAUCCAGGUUAAGACAGUUGGCAUUUUCCACAUGAUUACACAGAAUUUAAGCCAUCUGUAAAUCUUCCCAGUGAUCGAUGUUGUAAUCAACGUACGGGCCCUUGAGGACUUGUCUAAAAAUACAGGGGAUGCUUUACAAGGACUCUGUACCUCUCUGGACUCACUAGCAAAUGUUGUUCUCGACAAUAGGCAAGGCCUUGACGACCUCCUGGCUGAGCAAGGGGGAGUCUGUGCAGUUAUGAAUGAAACCUGCUGCAUGUAUCUCAAUAACUCUGGUCAGAUUGAGGUCAACAUAAGAGAGAUAUAUGAGCAAGCUCAGUGGUAACACAGAUAAACACACAAAGUCCAGAUCCAAGCUCCAUCUGGAAUACGGUCAAACAGAGCCUCCCCAGCUUAACCUGGUUUCCUUCAUUUCCUGGCCCACUAAUUGCUAUCAUCCUCCUGUUCAUCUUCGGGCCUUGCCUCCUUAACUGCCUUGUCAACUUCGUUAGCAAAGGGCUUGAAGCCAGCAAACUUCAGAUGACACAAACACAAGGGUACAAGCAACUGGGACUACAGCCUGGUGACCACCAGACAUAUUUUAGGCAACACAGGGAACAGUUCUGCUCCUCUAAUCCAGGGGAAAACUAUGCCCAUGUUCAGCAGGAAGCAGCUUCAGAAGGCAGAGCAUUGCCCUUCAGCACCCCUCAAGAAUGAGGAGCAGUAACAGAAAAGGGGGGAUUUUGUUGUCAGAGCUGUGCCAGUUCUUUGCUCAAAACCCACCAACCCCCGCUUGAACAGGAAUUAACAUGUAUCUUUAAGUCACAGGGUCUGGAGACAGAAGAAGGAAGCUAUAGGAAGAGAUAAACACCAGAUAGAACCAGCUGGAACAAAGGUGGCAACGAAUCUGACCUCCAACAGACCCUCAGUCUCAUUCUGCUGAGUUUACUACAUUGGCUACUAGAUGACACACCUACUGGUGGCCCUAACUGGAAGAUAUGGACCAAGAAAGGAUAAACAGGUACGCGGGCCUCUCACCGUUGUGGCCUCUCCCGUCGCGGAGCACAGGCUCCGGACGCGCAGGCUCAGCGGCCAUGGCUCACGGGCCUAGCCUCUCUGUGGCAUGUGUGAUCUUCCCGGACCAGGGCACGAACCCGUUUCCCCUUCAUCGGCAGGUGGACUCUCAACCACUGCACCACCAGGGAAGCCCAAGAAGACUCUUUGUAGUCUGUUUAUUACCCUGGUUUUGUAAAUCAGAAAAGGAGAACAACAUAUCUCCCUAAGACUCAAGGAAGAGGCUCCAGCUCCACCUUCAGCUCUCAAAGUUGAAAUUCUACUGAAACUAUUCCCUGAACAAUUUGCUUAUGGGACAUUAACACUAUCUUUAAGUACUGUGUAAGUGUUAAAAAUGACAUUAUAAAAACAGAUAUUAUACUGUACUUUGUGCAUUACAUGCCCUUCCACAUAUAUAAGUACAAUACCUAUGCUUUAUCAUAAUACAUGAUCAUGUAAUCAUGUAUUAAUUAUCUACCUCAUGUGUAUAAGCAUGUACUUCAGCCUAUCGAUAUUACAGGACACAUUAAACAGUUUAAUCCAUAUUAGAUUCCAGUCCCUAUGGAAUAUUCACAGGGCUAAUUGAAGUAAUUGAAGUGAUUGAUAUAAGAUGUAUGCUUAUUUUUUAAUUUAAAUUAAAUUAAAUUUUAUAUAUUUAUUUUUAAAUAAAUUUAUUUAUUUGUUUUUA